rnacentral:rRNA from 1 species
GAUGAACGCUAGCGGCAGGCCUAACACAUGCAAGUCGAGGGAGAAGCCCUUCGGGGCAGAAACCGGCGCACGGGUGCGUAACGCGUAUGCAACCUACCUUUCACAGGGGGAUAGCCCGAAGAAAUUUGGAUUAAUACCCCAUAAUAUUAUUGGAUGGCAUCAUUUGAUAAUUAAAAUUACGAUGGUGAAAGAUGGGCAUGCGUCCUAUUAGCUAGUUGGAGUGGUAACGGCACCCCAAGGCUACGAUAGGUAGGGGUCCUGAGAGGGAGAUCCCCCACACUGGUACUGAGACAGGGACCAGACUCCUACGGGAGGCAGCAGUGAGGAAUAUUGGUCAAUGGUCGGAAGACUGAACCAGCCAUGCCGCGUGCAGGAAGAAUGCCUUAUGGGUUGUAAACUGCUUUUAUAUGGGAAGAAUAAGGAGUACGCGUACUUUGAUGACGGACCAUA